UUCAGCCUCUCUGCUUUCUUCAUUCUUUCGUCUACUCUCUCCACUUCUACUCCAACAUUCUCUGUUCUUAUUCUGCUGCAUCUACAUAGUCUUAAUAUUUAUGGUAUUAAAGCCAGGUUGUCUGCAGCACGGGAAGGGCUACUUAUAGGCUGGAUUACGGUGAGUACUGAAUACUAAUAGACGAUAGCAGAGUGGCUACAGCUAGGUCAAUGUUGAUAGAGUGAGGCCGCUGUGGACAGCAGGCCUCUAGGGCUGGUGUAUUGUUAAGGACUUGGUUAUUAUGGAAAGUCCCAUAUUGAGUAGUAUGGGAUGCUCUAUACUGUAUUUAAAAGGAGUGAUUCUUCCCCCCUUAAGAGCUAGCUGUUAAGGUGUGGUUCCCUACAAGACUAAUAUGUACUCAUAUAGACACAUUAGAAACAAUUAAGAUAAUUCACUGUUCAUACAUGUUCAUAUGAUUAUCUUGUACAUAAUCCUAGAAUAUCUGUUAUAUUAAGAUUAGAUUAGAUAUUGACCCAAAGCUAAAGAUUAGAUAAGAUACUAAAUACCAAGUUCAAGCAAUUCCUUUCAUGCAUUGCAUAAUCAUAUGCAACAAUGGUAAGAGUAUCUUUCUCCCAAGCAAUUCACUCAGAUUUUCAAGUCUGUAUGUAGAGAAUCCAUAAAAGGUCGACUCCACGGGUACCCAUUGUUCAUUGCUGAAACUUUCUUUUGCUAACACACAUCACCACUCCUAUUACCCCAUAUUUAUCUCCAUGUCAUUAUUUGGCAAAGUCUAGUCAUGGAUUUUAGCCAACAUUCGCCAUAGUUCUCUAGGGCCAACAACCGGCAAUUGCUUUCAAGCAUGAUUUUCUACUAAUGGCAUCCCCAUUGCAGUUGCCUACCUUUAGGCAGCCUAUCCUCAACAGAUCCAAUGUGAAACAGCAAUGAAUGCUUCAGCAACCCCACCACUCUGUGAAUGAUGCUACAACCACGUUGCACUUUCUAAUGAUUGAUCAGCACACAACCCCAAAUUGCAUAAGAUCCAUCCCUAUAUAUUAAUUGCCAAUUAUUAUUAAACUUAGUUUAACAAAUUAUUGUUGACACUCAAAUUCGUGAUUAUUUAUGUUUAAACUUUGAAGGAGGAAUCUUAACAGGGGAGAGUGGAGGAUAAGGCCCCAUUCCCCGCCCCGCUCUCACUUAUAAUUUCCGUAGACAGAUGAGCACCUGCGGAUAUCCAUGGGGCAACCAGUAAUUAUAAAAAUUCUUGAAAUUUUAGUACCACAGUAUGACUUAUAGUGAUCUAAGUCAUCUAACAAUUAGUGUAAUACAAGUUUUUUAUAUAGUAAGCAUAAAUAGAAAUCCAAAUCAUACACUAUACAAAUUUAGUAGUUUUAUGUCAAAUUUUUAAUACACAUGAAUACAGGUACCAGGGAGAUAAACAUGACCCAUGCCCAUGGUAUAUCAUCCUUUGUUUAAUCCUGUCCACUAACCCAACACCUUUGACAUCAAGACUAGGAUACUUCACUCCUCUAGUAUUUUCUCAUGUACAUCGUUGUUUCCAAUUCGUGAUUUCCUAGGAUAAACUAAUAUAGAAAUCCAAUCAUCUUCAAAGGUUAAAGCUUUUGUUUGCACUGAUGUUCUUAAUCAAAUAAACACUAAUGGCAUGCUUCAGAAGCACAGACCUCUAAUGGCUUUGUCAUCUAAUAUGCGCAUAAUGGGUGGUUUAAAUUCUAUCACGAGAUCUCUCGGAUCAUACAUUUUGGUAUAUUCAGUGAAUCCAGGUACGGCCUAUGGAUCAAUACCAGUUUCUUCCUCCAAAGUUCAGAAAAAAUGUCUUGUCUAAAGAAGCAAAGAUUCUGUGGUAGAACUUAACUUUUGUAUUGAUUUGGUGUACUUGGUUGGAAAGGAAAGGAACGAUAAGGAUUUUAAUGAUUCCUUUCCUAUUAUUGAUUUUAUCUCAGGAUUACCUUUUUUAUUUCUCUUUGGUGUCAAUCUCAUGUGAAAAGGAAUGACCUGGCAUGGCUAUGCAGUUUAUCCCUUAGGGUAUGUUUGGUAAGUGAGACAGAAAAUGAACAAGGCGAAUAAAGUACAAAAAAAUGUGUUUCAAGUUGGAAGCAGGUAACCAUCGCAAUCUGUCCCAAGACACAAGUUUUCUGUAUUUUCUGUCCUUCCAAAAAGUAGCGAAAAAGGGGACAUCAAUUUUCUAUCUUUCUGUUUUUAACUCUUUCAUAUUUGUAGCCUGUCUCAACUAGCAAACGCUAGCUUAGAGUGUUAAAUGUUAAUCAUGUCCUUUUGCAUGUAAUAUGAGGAUUCCCCAUCCUCUUUUUUAAUACUCUUUUUCUUUGUAAAAAAUCUUCUUUUCAUAUCCAAGAGCAAUCAAUAAAUAAAUAAAUCAUCAAAUUUGUUAAAUAAAAACUAAUGCAAAGUCCCAGGAGAAACCCUACAUUCAUCAAAAGUACCUAACAGUGAAAUCCACAAGUUAACCAUAAACCACUCAAAAACCAAAUGUACAGCCGAUCCUAAACUAGCACUACAUACUUUCGAAAAGAGAGGGAAUUUUUUUUGUAUGUUUUGAUAUCAUUUAAGAAUUAGAAUGUUAUUACAAAAAUGGUUCUAGCUUUUUCUUCUCAGGUUAAUCUACUUUCAGCUUUUAAUUACUUUGUAAGUUCCUACCGUUUCACCAAAUUUGUAAUUAGAACUUGCAUUUUUAAACUUUCAGUUGAUUUAUAUGUAUAUAUAUUAUACAUAGACAUAUUCGUAUAUACAAAUUUAUAUUUAAAAAAGAAAAGACAACUAUUCUUAGAAGAUUCGCUCCUAUCAUGAUAUAGCAUGAAUUGUAGUGUAUGAUAGCAGCAAAUAUUCUAACAUUAUUUCUUCUUUCUUUUUUUAACAACUGGUGGUAAGAAAUUGAAAAAAAUUUUAUCCAUUAAUCUAGUAGUGAAACCUACAAAAUAUUCAACAUGGGAUGAUGAACAAGGAAGAAACUUUGCAAUGGGAAGGGUUAUGUAGAUGAGCUUGCCAAUUUAUGUAGACAAAAAAGGAAAGGCACAUAAAUGGUACAUAAUAAACUUCAGAUUACAAACUUCCAAACUUGCAAGUUUGUUGGGUUGCAAUUAAUGCCAUGACUACACCAGUGCCAAAAGGGUUUUGGGCUUUUGGCCACAUAUGGUCAAGUCUUUUCAAUGCAAUAAUCUUCCAAUCAAAUUAAGGUUAAACCAUAGAGAUUGAGCAACAAGUGAAAUGUGAAUAUUUCUCACUUGUGUCUUCCUAGAUAAAAGUAAACAUCCUAACAAUACAAUCAAAACUAAUAGCAUCAUUUGACCCAUUUAAUCAACAAGCACAUUUCCCAAAAUGAAUUUUACCUAGAACUGUGACAUGUUAUUCCAUUGUCACCUUAUUAAAAAAAA